UCCCGUAAACGGCGUAAAGAGUGGUAUUAUGUUAUCAUUACAACUAAGAUCAAAGUGCAACUAAGCUGUCAUAAGCUCAAGAUGUGCCUAAGACCCCCUUAAAGAUGAUCUUAGUACUUCUGAUUGAUUUAACUCCACGAAAGCUAAGGUACAAACUGGGAUUAGAUACCCCACUAUGCUUAGCCCUAAAUCUUGAUGNCUCGCCUGUACUAAAGCAUCCGCCUGAGAACUACGAGCACAAACGCUUAAAACUCUAAGGACUUGGCGGUGCCCUAAACCCACCUAGAGGAGCCUGUUCUGUAAUCGAUAACCCACGUUACACCCGACCACCCCUUGCCAGAAACAGCCUACAUACCGCCGUCGCCAGCUCACCUCCCCUGAGAGUUCAAUAGUGAGCACAAUAGCUCNAACCCGCUAACAAGACAGGUCGAGGUAUAGCCCACGGGGUGGAAGAAAUGGGCU
rnacentral:rRNA from 1 species